GAUGGCCGUGCUUUCUUAUCUCGAUUUCUUUUCCACCGGUGUUCAGAGAGUAGCAUUAGCAACCGCCGCUAAUAUGUGCGAGAAGCUUCCUUCAGAUGCUUCUAACUUUAUCAUGGAAGCUGUUCCACUUUUGACGAAUCUCCUUCAAUAUCAUGAUGCAAAGGUAUUAGAGCAUGCAUCUAUCUGCUUGACCCAUAUUGUUGAAGCAUUUACGUCAUACCCGGAGAAGCAAGCUGCA